rfam:Ehrlichia canis str. Jake, complete genome.
UCAGGUAAAAGAGUAGUUGCUGUACUAACAUACAGAGGAAAGUCCGGACUCCAAGGGAAAAUGGUGACAGGUAAUCCCUGUCGGGGGUAACUUCAGGUAAAGGGCUACAGAAAAUAACCGCCUUGUUAACAAGGUAAGGGUGAAAAGGCGUGGUAAGAGCACACCGUACUUAUGGCAACAUAUAGUAGCUAGGCAACCACCACCAGGAGCAAGACUAAAAUGAGGUAAUGUAUUUUCCCUUACAAUUACCAAGGUGAGUCGCGCGAGUUAGGUAGUGAUACCUAUCCCAGAUGAAUAACUACAUAAACAGAAUCCGGCUUAUUUUUACCUGGCACA